GGGGUUGUGGCUUAGUGGUAGAGCUCUCACCAAGCACGUGUGAGGCACUGGGUUUGAUUCUCAGCACCACA
rnacentral:tRNA from 1 species